rnacentral:rRNA from 2 species
ACGCCGCGUGAGCGAUGAAGGCCUUCGGGUCGUAAAGCUCUGUCCUAAGGGAAGAUAUAGACGGUACCUUAGGAGGAAGCCCCGGCUAACUACGUGCCAGCAGCCGCGGUAAUACGUAGGUGGCAAGCGUUGUCCGGAAUUAUUGGGCGUAAAGCGCGCGCAGGCGGUUAAUUAAGUCUGAUGUGAAAUCUCGAGGCUCAACCUCGAGCGGCCAUUGGAAACUGGUUGACUUGAGUGCAGAAGAGGAGAGUGGAAUUCCAUGUGUAGCGGUGAAAUGCGUAGAUAUAUGGAGGAACACCAGUGGCGAAGGCGACUCUCUGGUCUGUAACUGACGCUGAGGCGCGAAAGCGUGGGGAGCAAACAGGAUUAGAUACCCUGGUAGUCCACGCCGUAAACGAUGAGUGCUAGGUGUUAGGGGUUUCGAUGCCCUUAGUGCCGAAGUUAACACAUUAAGCACUCCGCCUGGGGAGUACGACCGCAAGGUUGAAACUCAAAGGAAUUGACGGGGGCCCGCACAAGCAGUGGAGCAUGUGGUUUAAUUCGAAGCAACGCGAAGAACCUUACCAGGUCUUGACAUCCUUUGACCACCCUAGAGAUAGGGCUUUCCCCUUCGGGGGACAAAGUGACAGGUGGUGCAUGGUUGUCGUCAGCUCGUGUCGUGAGAUGUUGGGUUUAGUCCCGCAACCAGCGCAACCCUUGAUCUUAGUUGCCAGCAUUCAGUUGGGCACUCUAAAGUGACUGCCGGUGAUAAACCCGGAGAAGGGGGGGAUGAAAUCAAAUCCUCAUGCCCCUUAUGACCUGG